ACUUAUUGUAUUCGUACUAGUUUGUUGCACUUAUUGUAUUCGUACUAGUUUGCACUUAUUGUAUUCGUACUAGUUUUUUGUAGUAGUUUGCGGUGCCCCAUCGAACCCGUUUGGGAUGAACUGGAACAAUGACUACAAACCAGCUCUUACCACCCAACACUAGUGACCUGAAUGCUCUUGUGGCUAAAUGCUAGCACAUCUAUGCUGCCAGCUUCCACAAUGUGGUGGAAAGCCCACAACAAUGUUAUUAUUAGUAUUCAUCAUAUUUCUGAUAUUAUUACUGGCCCUAUUACUACUAUUUUUUAAUUCUACUAAUGCUGCUACUACUGCUAUUACCACUCUUUAUGAAUCAUUUGCGUCAGAUGCAUUGAAUGUGUUUUAACUCUGUUAUCUUCAUUCUGUACACAUGACAUGUAGCUACUCCUGUCCAUCCUGAGGGGCAUCCUCAGGGUCUUUCUUUCUCCAAGGUCAAAGGUCAGAAGAUGUUUGUUGUAGAGAUUAUAAAGCCUUUGAGGCAAAUCUGUGAUAUUGAGCUGAAGAGUGGAGACUGUUAGAACAGCACAUUUAUGCCAAUGGUUUUGGAAUGAUGUUCAACUGUCACAUAUAGCUGGAAUGCUGGGGUGUCCAUAUACUUUUGAGCAUAUAUCAUAUCUGUUGUCUGUGUAGCACAGUGUACAGCUGUAGAGGACAGUAAACCACCUGAACUCACUUUACUCACUCUUCAUUUACACGCUCUGGGCUCAAGUACUUUUUUAUGGCCUAAACGUAUCAUCAAACCAAAUAUUGUCACAUCAUACUACAAAUAUACAUAUAUAUAUGUAUCUAUAGCACCAACAGCUGUCUUGUCCUAUCUGCCCCUCCUCUCCAGACACAGCUCGAGCCCUGGGGCUUCUGGAGGAGUUCUGCACUAAACUGAAGAAGCCGGAGGAGCAGCAGCUCAAGACUGCCAUUCUGAGAGUGAUGGGGAUUUUCCAAAGCAACCUGUUUGAAGCUCUUCUUGAUAUCCAGGAGUUCUAUGAAGUGACGCUGCUAAACACACAGAAGAGCUGUGAGCAAAAGCUGGAGGAGGUCAACCACAUGGCGGACAAGUGGGAGAAGAGUGUUUCUUUACAAAACUCUGAGCUUGCCUGUCCAGUGGAGGAGCAGAGGGAGCAGAGCAGCUCACAACCCAGCGGGAUGGAGAAGAGAGAGAUCGGUGCCAAGAUGUCGGAGGUGAGUUCUCUCUGGAAGCCAUGCUUUCCUUCUGUGUGUACAGAGUGUGUGUGUGUGUCUCCAUUUAGCUUUGUGGGGUCAUUUACAUUCUUUUACACCAGGUCACCAAAUGUGUUUCUCAUUACCAGCAUCCAUUUCAUUCUGUGGUCUUAUUUUUUGAUUUCACCUCAUCAUCACUCAUGGCAUGGUGGAACACCGCAGUGACAUGAGCUGAACUUCUACUGUGUGUUGGUGAGCAGUCUCGGUAAGAUGAGAGUUCAUCUUUGCUCCUAUUUGCUUUGAAGAAGUAGAGGAUAUUUUUUUCAUAUGGAUAUUCAAAAGAUUCUGUGCAAGUUAGGUUUGCUGUCGUUGGGAAUCUUACAUGCAAACCGCUCAAAACAGGCAGAUCUGUUUUCAGAGUGCAGCUUGUCAAGCAAUGAAGCAGUAGUGGCGUCUCAAACUACAGAUCUAUAUUUUAGAAGAAAUCUUCACCUUGCACUUUGUGCAUUGUUUGUUGUGGUAAGUUACUGAUUACUUGAGAGCCCCUGUUAAGUCAAUACGUUGAAGUACUUGCUGCUGUAUGUAUUUCUUAUGUUUUCUGUAACUCUGUGUGCCGUUCAGAAGAUCAGAAAGUGAGAAACAUCUGUAGAAAAGUUGACAAUACGUUUCAUUUUAGUGAAGAAAACAGGAUUGAAAUAAAAAGGAGCCAGUGCAGACAUUUGAGCUGCCAUGUAUGCUUCCUAGAAUGAAUAGAGUUCAUCAGUGAUUCAUCUGCAUGAAGCCCUUAUUUCAUUUUGAUCUGGUUAGACUGGAGUGAAAUCUGAGAACAGACCUGAAAAUGACUUGUGAGGAGAAUGUGCUGGGGUCAGGUACAGGCCAGCUUCAAAGUCAAGUUGUACAGCAAAUCCUUCAAGUAGCACUGCCAUUCACAUAAACAGACAAAUCCAAAUGUAUCACACCUAGUCUGUAUGAGCGACAGCCCGAACAAAGGAGGUUAAAGCAUUCCUCCCCUCUAAUGCAAUAAGUGGAAAGUGCCUGAGCCGCAUCACCUGGAAAGAUUAGCCCUGCUGCUCCGGCAGAGGGAGUCUGAAACGCUGAGUGUGUUCAGUGAGAGCGACGGGACAUCAGGAGUGUAGGGCUGCUGCUUCGUCCACAAAUGAAAGCAGUAAUCAAGAUCAAAUUCUGCAACACACCUCUUCACCAGGAUGGCUCCAGCCAACAGGUACCGGGGCAGUUUAGUUCAGAGGCUUAAAGUCUCUAGGGAGAAACGGGUUGGACAUCGGAGUGGCUUAGUUUACCUGCGAGUUACUGUCAGACGGGGCAGGUUACUGAUUCUUAAUAUACAGCGCUAAGAGACUGUGAUAGAGAUUUUCAACAAAAACAUGUGGCGCUGUAAUAUCUCACAUGGUAGUGUGCUGUACUUGCAGGUUGGAUAUAUGCAUCCUGCAUAUGAAGAGUAUUAAAGUUAAAGUCUUUUGAUUCUCUUCAUUGAGAGCUGCAUUUGAAGCAUUUUUCAAACAGUCUGAGUUGCUAAAGGACAGACAAAGUUCCUUCAAACUGUGGUUUAAUAAAUCCUUUCUUUUAUGAAGUCCUUUUAUCUAGUAAAAAGUCAAAAAGGAAGUUCAAUCCUGUUCAACUGAAUACAUACCUGCAAACUUGUCACUUUUCGGUGAAAUUCACCGUUUUGAAUCAAAAAUAUGUCAU